rnacentral:misc_RNA from 1 species
CCAGUUUCGCUUAUCCCGAUGAAUGAGACCGCAGCGUGUUGCCGCCAGGCAAGCGUGUCAGGCGGUGUCCGGCAUGCGGCGAAAAGGGAGACUGGCUGUCGUCCUGUUUACUGACUGUGAUGAACGAGGCAUUACCUGUGCACGCAGGUAGGCGGACUCAGCGCGGGUGACCGACGGCAUAUGCAAGGUGAACGACUUGGGGCUAUAGCUCAGCUGGGAGAGCGCCUGCUUUGCACGCAGGAGGUCAGCGGUUCGAUCCCGCUUAGCUCCACCAUUCCGUCAUGGAAUGUUUUUGUCAUCCUGCGGGAUGAGAGGUUUUUCUGUCGUUGACUUAUUUCAGAGCGCGUUUAUCGAGCGCGCUGCGAAAUACCGCUCUUUAACAAUCCGGAACAAGCUGAAAAUUUGAAACACAUGCUGAAGUGCAAACUCAGUAUGCGAGUCUCUCAAACGAAGUAAGCAAACCUGAGAUAACGCGUAAGCGUUAUCACUGUAGCACGACAGGCCCUGUCGUCUCCGUGGCGUCUUUACAGACGACGCCGGGG